rnacentral:rRNA from 1 species
UAACACAUGCCAAGUCGAACGCUCCGCAAGGAGAGUGGCAAACGGGUGAGUAACGCGUGGGAAUCUACCUAGUUCUACGGAACAACAGUUGGAAACGACUGCUAAUACCGUAUACGCCCUACGGGGGAAAGAUUUAUCGGAAUUAGAUGAGCCCGCGUAAAAUUAGCUAGUUGGGGGGGCAAUGGCCUACCAAGGCGACAAUCUUUAGCUGGUCUGAGAGGAUGAUCAGCCACACUGGGACUGAGACACGGCCCAAACUCCUACGGGAGGCAGCAGUGGGGAAUAUUGGACAAUGGGCGCAAGCCUGAUCCAGCCAUGCCGCGUGAGUGAUGAAGGCCUUAGGGUUGUAAAGCUCUUUCAGGGGGGAAAAUAAUGACGGUACCCACAGAAAAAGCCCCGGCUAACUUCGUGCCAGCAGCCGCGGUAAUACGAAGGGGGCUAGCGUUGUUCGGAUUUACUGGGCGUAAAGCGCACGUAGGCGGAUUGGUAAGUUAGGGGUGAAAUCCUGGAGCUCAACUCCAGAACUGCCUUUAAUACUGCCAGUCUAGAGUCCGGAAGAGGUAAGUGGAACUCCUAGUGUAGAGGUGGAAUUCGUAGAUAUUAGGAAGAACACCAGUGGCGAAGGCGGCUUACUGGUCCGGUACUGACGCUGAGGUGCGA